rnacentral:rRNA from 1 species
UGGGGGAUAUUGCACAAUGGGCGCAAGCCUGAUGCAGCGACGCCGCGUGAGCGAAGAAGUAUUUCGGUAUGUAAAGCUCUAUCAGCAGGAAAGAAAAUGACGGUACCUGACUAAGAAGCUCCGGCUAAAUACGUGCCAGCAGCCGCGGUAAUACGUAUGGAGCAAGCGUUAUCCGGAUUUACUGGGUGUAAAGGGAGCGUAGGCGGCUCUGUAAGUCUGAUGUGAAAAUUUGGGGCUCAACCCCAAACGUGCAUUGGAAACUGCAGGGCUUGAGUGCCGGAGAGGCAGGCGGAAUUCCUAGUGUAGCGGUGAAAUGCGUAGAUAUUAGGAGGAACACCAGUGGCGAAGGCGGCCUGCUGGACGGUAACUGACGCUGAGGCUCGAAAGCGUGGGGAGCAAACAGG